rnacentral:rRNA from 1 species
AGAGUGAUUAUGGCUCAGGAUGAACGCUGGCGGCGUGCUUAACACAUGCAAGUCGAACGGAGCUUAAGAAGGAAGCUUGCUUUCAUUUAAGCUUAGUGGCGGACGGGUGAGUAACGCGUGAGCAACCUGCCCUUCAGUGGGGAAUAACACCGAGAAAUCGGUGCUAAUACCGCAUAAUGUCGGAGGACCGCAUGAUCUUCCGACCAAAGGAUUUAUUCGCUGAAGGAUGGGCUCGCGUCCGAUUAGGCAGUUGGCGGGGUAACGGCCCACCAAACCGACGAUCGGUAGCCGAACUGAGAGGUUGAUCGGCCACAUUGGGACUGAGACACGGCCCAGACUCCUACGGGAGGCAGCAGUGGGGAAUAUUGGGCAAUGGGCGAAAGCCUGACCCAGCAACGCCGCGUGAAGGAUGAAGGUCUUCGGAUUGUAAACUUCUUUGAUUGGGGAAGAAUAAAUGACCUACCCAAAGAACAAGUCACGGCUAACUACGUGCCAGCAGCUGC